GACCAUCCUCCAAGGCUAAAUACUCCUGACUGACCGAUAGUGAACCAGUACCGUGAGGGAAAGGCGAAAAGAACCCCGGCGAGGGGAGUGAAAAAGAACCUGAAACCGUGUACGUACAAGCAGUGGGAGCCUCUUAAUGGGGUGACUGCGUACCUUUUGUAUAAUGGGUCAGCGACUUAUAUUCUGUAGCAAGGUUAACCGAAUAGGGGAGCCGAAGGGAAACCGAGUCUUAACUGGGCGUUAAGUUGCAGGGUAUAGACCCGAAACCCGGUGAUCUAGCCAUGGGCAGGUUGAAGGUUGGGUAACACUAACUGGAGGACCGAACCGACUAAUGUUGAAAAAUUAGCGGAUGACUUGUGGCUGGGGGUGAAAGGCCAAUCAAACCGGGAGAUAGCUGGUUCUCCCCGAAAGCUAUUUAGGUAGCGCCUCGUGAAUUCAUCUCCGGGGGUAGAGCACUGUUUCGGCAAGGGGGUCAUCCCGACUUACCAACCCGAUGCAAACUGCGAAUACCGGAGAAUGUUAUCACGGGAGACACACGGCGGGUGCUAACGUCCGUCGUGAAGAGGGAAACAACCCAGACCGCCAGCUAAGGUCCCAAAGUCAUGGUUAAGUGGGAAACGAUGUGGGAAGGCCCAGACAGCCAGGAUGUUGGCUUAGAAGCAGCCAUCAUUUAAAGAAAGCGUAAUAGCUCACUGGUCGAGUCGGCCUGCGCGGAAGAUGUAACGGGGCUAAACCAUGCACCGAAGCUGCGGCAGCGACACUAUGUGUUGUUGGGUAGGGGAGCGUUCUGUAAGCCUGUGAAGGUAGCCUGUGAGGGUUGCUGGAGGU
rnacentral:rRNA from 1 species